GACGAACGCUGGCGGCGUGCCUAAUACAUGCAAGUUGAGCGCUGAAGGUUGGUACUUGUACCAACUGGAUGAGCAGCGAACGGGUGAGUAACGCGUGGGGAAUCUGCCUUUGAGCGGGGGACAACAUUUGGAAACGAAUGCUAAUACCGCAUAAAAACUUUAAACACAAGUUUUAAGUUUGAAAGAUGCAAUUGCAUCACUCAAAGAUGAUCCCGCGUUGUAUUAGCUAGUUGGUGAGGUAAAGGCUCACCAAGGCGAUGAUACAUAGCCGACCUGAGAGGGUGAUCGGCCACAUUGGGACUGAGACACGGCCCAAACUCCUACGGGAGGCAGCAGUAGGGAAGCUUCGGCAAUGGACGAAAGUCUGACCGAGCAACGCCGCGUGAGUGAAGAAGGGUUUCGGAUCGUAAAACUCGGUUGGUAGAGAAGAACGUUGGUGAGAGUGGAAAGCUCAUCAAGUGACGGUAACUACCCAGAAAGGGACGGCUAACUACGUG
rnacentral:rRNA from 1 species